GGAGGAUAUAGCUCAAUGGUAGAGUGCAUGCUUAGCAUGCAUGAGGUCCUGGGUUCAAUCCCCAGUACCUCCA
rnacentral:tRNA from 1 species